ACUCAGCUGACGAGUUCCAAAUAGGGUGAAACUCACGUCCUGAAU
rnacentral:hammerhead_ribozyme from 1 species